UACGAAGGGGGCUAGCGUUGUUCGGAUUUACUGGGCGUAAAGCGCACGUAGGCGGAUUGUUAAGUCAGGGGUGAAAUCCCGGAGCUCAACUCCGGAACUGCCUUUGAUACUGGCAAUCUUGAGGCUGGAAGAGGUUGGUAGAAUUCCCAGUGUAGAGGUGAAAUUCGUAGAUAUUGGGAAGAAUACCAGUGGCGAAGGCGGCCAACUGGUCCAGAUCUGACGCUGAGGUGCGAAAGCGUGGGGAGCAACAGGG
rnacentral:rRNA from 1 species